CCUGGUGUCGCCAUGCUCCCCAGCAGAAGGAGGCAGCCCUGGUUCAGCUAAAAGCUGUUUCACAAGACCUAUUGCUGCUCAUCAGAUUCCCCACUGAGUAAAAGAAGCAUCUGCAAAUCUAAUUUGAAAGAUUGGUUUGAAGUGAAGCUUUGGCAAACUUCCCAGAGCCCUUUGGUUUUCUGGGUCCCUGACUCUGCAUUUGUCUCCUGGGGUCAUCUCAGUGGUGUGUGCACUGCCAGCAAACCCAAGUCGUUCCUCAAACAACCAGAAAACAACUAAACAAACUUGGCAAGAUUCGUUUGGGGGAGUUAAAGAAGACAUGAAUGGGGUGCAAAGAGAGAUGAGCCAGGCCAAGGCCCAGAGGCAGAGGCCACGUUGGAUGCUGCAUCUGAGGACCACAUGCCGGAUCAUGGUCAGGAAUCAUGGGAGCGGGCUGAGAGACAUGGUAACAACUGAGUUCAGGUAAGUGACUCAGAACUGAGCAUGGGGUCAUAUGAAAGUCAAAAGCUUGGUGUUUUGGAUAGUGGUCAUGUGUGCAAGUCCUGGAGGGCAUUAAAAGGGUCUCUUAGUACUUUGUUCCUUUGACUUCCCUCAGCAACAGCCUAGGAGUUGCCAUAGUUUAGCUCAGCCUAGUAGGUUCUCCCCAGUGAAAACUGUCUAUGUCUUUUUUUACUGCUUCUCUCCUAAGCCAAUGCUCUUCUCACACAUGUUUCUUUCAUUGUUAGGACCAAGUCAAGAAUGUGUAGAACCUACCAGUUCCUACUUUCCUUGAGCUCCUAACGAUAGAGGUACAUCUGAACCAUCUGGGAAAGCGCCAUCAGGUCAACCUCUAGACCCUCACAAACACUGUGCUAACAGAGCUGGGCAGGUGUUCUCACUGACUGCAUCCACACCAUUACAUUCUCCUUGAUUUCCUGCCACAUUUGUGGGCAGGUGUAGGGAGGGAGAUUUUAUUAGGAACCUGCAAACCUACUUUAUUGGAGGUGUCAGUAUGGUAUGUCUUAUGCUCAAAUCUUUAACAUGUUAAAACAGAACAAAAUAACCUUUGGACUGGGCCUACAGCAGCCUUAUGCCCCCAAAGAACUGUGCAAAGAUAACAAGAAAACAGCUAUUUUGACUACUGGACUAAUGACCACUAGACUGAAAAAGCCAAUUAUUGACAAUUAGCUUUUACCAUGUUUUGCUAUCUACAACUAUAGAAAUGCCUUCUCUCUAUUGAUGAAAUUGUGCCCCUUCCCUUUCUCAUAAACACCUCUCGCCUUUUUCUCCUCCUGUCUUGGAACAGUAUUACAGUAUUUGGGCUUCCACAUGAAUGAGUGUGUCAGGAAUAGCUAGCUAUUCCUUCUUAUCUCACAUAAAUGUGUGUUGCUUCUCAUUUUGAAAGGCCUUUUCUUUUUCAGGUUAGCAUAGAACGGUGAGCCCAAAACAUGUUGGCACUUGUAUCAAAGACCACACAGGGUACUCAUAAGUUGCUGAUUAAUUGUAACAGCAAGUUUUUCUGUCACUUCUUCGCUAAGAAGGGGUGAGCACACGCCCAUCCCUUCUUAGCUGUCAUAUCUGCCAGGCAACCAGGCUCUCAUUGGUUAAAUCUUCCCUCUGCUCUGAUGUUCUGACUAGGGCUUUGCUCUUAGCAUCUGCUUCUGUUCCUGAACCAACACCCCUUCCCGGGAGCCAUUUCAUGCCCCUGGGCUCUGCCACACCCCUCAGCACUGACCUGUGGUUCCCGUGACCCAGCUCUGAACACCAGUCUCCUUGUCAGGUGCCCACUGAGGUCUAGCACCUACCCAGCCUCCCUGGUUUAGACCCUUUCCUGGAAUCUGAUCAACUCUUCCUCCCUUCUAAUCAUUCUCUGCUCUGAAGCAUGACAAAGCAGCAGCCUAGAUAAUGUAAAAUAUAUAAGCAGAUUUUGAACUGAAAGUUUAAAACCCACUUCACGUUCUAAAAUACAAAGUUUUGAUUCUUGUCUCCUCCAUGGUGACUUCUGGGAUGUACGGUUGAGAGAAAGAGGGCAUAGAUCCAAUGUCCACAGUGAACAAGCAUUCCUCCUGGGAAGACAAUGUAUUCCAUGCCAGCCUGUCUCCGGGCAAAAGACAUAAUGUCAUUCUUCCAACAAUGUGCACGCUAAAGUGCAAACUAAGGGCUCAUACCUUCUGUCCCUCUCCAAGGCAGAGUUUGGACAUACUGGGGACAGGCUAGAAGGUAUCUACUCUCCUAUAACUGCUCAAUCAUGUGGCAAUCACGGGUUUCCCUGAGCAUCAUAAAAGGUAAGAGGGAACUUGAAUGUAGCCCUGUUCCUUCAUCUAGGCAACCGUGGAGGUGGACCUGGACCACGUGCUGGGUCCCCUGAGUGGGAGAGAUGCAGCUGUGAGCAAGACAUUCCAGGGAAAUAAAGGCAAUAAACAGGCACCUGAUGAAUACAUAAUAUGAUUCCAGGUAGACGAAGAGGGAGAAACAGAACAAUCCCUGGUAAAUGGAUAAGAUGCAAUGAUCUGUUCUGAGAAAGGCAGUUUUGAUCAGACCUUCCCACAUGAAAGGAGAGAAAGAAUAAGGAUGACACCGUCUAGGUCUGUCCGAUCAACGGCGCUAUUUUCUAGAAAAAGACUUUUCAAUAUCUAAGUUAGUCCUUCACAAUCAGUGUCCAUCCUUGCUAAGAGGGGCCUACUCAAUGUUUGAGGCAGAUAGAGUAUGAGGAAGCAUAAUCUACAUUGCAUUAAUUUAAUUUUUGUUAGUUAUUAUUUAUUUAGUUUAUUUUCAAAUUCCAAAUGGUGUCAAAGCAUGCUAUCACACUUAUCAAACUGAAUUUCGGUUAAAGACCAGCCAAAUUCAUCAUUUCUUUUGAGGUAGAGAAAACUAGAAAGCAAGGAGCUUUUAUUUGAAUCAUAAAUAAGUAAAAAAUGAGAGUUCAAAUUUCCCCAAAGAAAUAAUUGCUCAGUUUUCAGGAAUCAAUGGAGACUUUUGUAUCUUAGUGAUUUUGCAUACCACAGUCACUUUCUGCAUAAAAGAAACAUUCAUAAUAUGAUGAUAAAUACACUGGUCUUAAUC